GUAGUCUCGCACAGAUGCAUAUCAAUAAGCGGAGGAAAAGAAACUAACAAGGAUUCCCCUAGUAACGGCGAGUGAAGCGGGAAGAGCUCAAAUUUGAAAUCUUAAAGGGUUUCCCUUUACGAAUUGUAGUUUAAAGAAGUGUUUUCUGUUGAGGUUUUGGUAAAAGUUCUUUGGAAUAGGACAUCAUAGAGGGUGAGAAUCCCGUAUUUGACCUUUACUUUCAACUUUGUGAUACACUUUCAAAGAGUCGGAUUGUUUGGGAAUGCAGUCCAAAAUGGGUGGUAAAUUUCAUCUAAAGCUAAAUAUUGGCGAGAGACCGAUAGCGAACAAGUACCGUGAGGGAAAGAUGAAAAGAACUUUGAAAAGAGAGUUAAACAGUACGUGAAAUUGUCAAAAGGGAAGCGUUUGACACCAGUGUUGUUUUUCUGAAAAUCAAUUAAAGAACUGUUUAUGCUAAGCUGUUUAGACUUUAUCAGCUAUCUGUUUAGUUUUGAGCUUUUCUUUAAUGCACUUUUCAGUUAACAAGUCAACAUCAAUUUCUUUUGCUGUAAAAAAGCUUGAGGAAGGUGGCUUGAGAUUCGUCUUAAGUGUUUAUAGCCUCCUGCCUAUGCAGUCGGAGAGAUUGAGGUCUGCAGCGUAGAUCCUUCGGGGCUAAAUGCAUUUGUGCUAAGUUAUAGCAUUUUAUAGACAACUUGUUGACUAUGAUUUGUCUUGUAGCUUACUCGCUUAUGUUAUUUUACCUACGCUUAGGAUGUUGAUCUGUAGUGCGUGCGC
rnacentral:rRNA from 1 species